AAAUUGAAGAGUUUGAUCAUGGCUCAGAUUGAACGCUGGCGGCAGGCCUAACACAUGCAAGUCGAACGGUAACAGGAAGCAGCUUGCUGCUUUGUUGACGAGUGGCGGACGGGUGAGUAAUGUCUGGGAAACUGCCUGAUGGAGGGGGAUAACUACUGGAAACGGUGGCUAAUACCGCAUAACGUCGCAAGACCAAAGAGGGGGACCUUCGGGCCUCU
rnacentral:rRNA from 1 species